rnacentral:rRNA from 1 species
ACCUCGAUGUCGGCUCAUCACAUCCUGGGGCUGAAGUAGGUCCCAAGGGUAUGGCUGUUCGCCAUUUAAAGUGGUACGCGAGCUGGGUUUAGAACGUCGUGAGACAGUUCGGUCCCUAUCUGCCGUGGGUGCUGGAGAACUGAGGGGGGCUGCUCCUAGUACGAGAGGACCGGAGUGGACGCAUCACUGGUGUUCGGGUUGUCAUGCCAAUGGCACUGCCCGGUAGCUAAAUGCGGAAGAGAUAAGUGCUGAAAGCAUCUAAGCACGAAACUUGCCCCGAGAUGAGUUCUCCCUGAGACUUAGAGUCUCCUGAAGGAACGUUGAAGACGACGACGUUGAUAGGCCGGGUGUGUAAGCGCAGCGAUGCGUUGAGCUAACCGGUACUAAUGAACCGUGAGGCUUAACCUUACAACGCCGAAG